rnacentral:rRNA from 1 species
UGCCAGCCGCCGCGGUAAUACGGAGGGUGCAAGCGUUAAUCGGAAUUACUGGGAGUAAAGCGCGCGUAGGCGGUUGAGUGAGUCAGAUGUGAAAGCCCCGGGCUUAACCUGGGAAUGGCAUUCGAUACUGCAGAGCUAGAGUAUGGUAGAGGGAAGUGGAAUUUCCGGUGUAGCGGUGAAAUGCGUAGAUAUCGGAAGGAACACCGGUGGCGAAGGCGACUUCCUGGGCCAAUACUGACGCUGAGGUGCGAAAGCGUGGGUAGCAAACAGGAUUAGAUA